rnacentral:rRNA from 1 species
GAUGAACGCUGGCGGCGUGCCUAAUACAUGCAAGUCGAGCGAACAGACGAGGAGCUUGCUCCUCUGACGUUAGCGGCGGACGGGUGAGUAACACGUGGAUAACCUACCUAUAAGACUGGGAUAACUUCGGGAAACCGGAGCUAAUACCGGAUAAUAUAUUGAACCGCAUGGUUCAAUAGUGAAAGACGGUUUUGCUGUCACUUAUAGAUGGAUCCGCGCCGCAUUAGCUAGUUGGUAAGGUAACGGCUUACCAAGGCGACGAUGCGUAGCCGACCUGAGAGGGUGGUCGGCCACACUGGAACUGGGACACGGUCCAGACUCCUACGGGAGGCAGCAGUAGGGAAUCUUCCGCAAUGGGCGAAAGCCUGACGGAGCAACGCCGCGUGAGUGAUGAAGGUCUUCGGAUCGUAAAACUCUGUUAUUAGGGAAGAACAGAUGUGUAAGUAACUAUGCACGUCUUGACGGUACCUAAUCAGAAAGCCACGGCUAACUACGUG